UUCGAUUAAUUUGGUCAUUUAUUUUUCCAACUUUCUACUUAAAAAAAAUAUUAAUCAAAAGUUAGGCUAGGUUAUCGUCACUUGCUCACUGGAUAUUAUACCUUUUAUGGGCAUGUGAAUUUACGGUUUGCUACAUUUCAGGAAUCACAAACAUUUCCGCACAUUAGGUCCAAUGGUUGGCACAACAAAAAAAACUCACCAAACAAAACAGGUUUCCAGAGGGACACGCCUAGGAUAAACAGCUCAAGAAGGCAGACGCAAAAUGGAAUGUGGGAUUUGGUGAAUAUAAGUGACUUUAAACCUAUAUAACGGUGUCGCGAACUCCUAUGAUAUUCCUCCUGGAAUAAAUGGAACACGGGGACGAGCACCAUGGAAGAAAAUGCCUUGAUUGAGGGGCGUCAUGCGCACAGGAGCGGACUAUGGCUUUAAGCAGAAUUCUGCUCCUGCUGUUGUGCGUGGUUUCUUUUGAGGUACCCAACGCCAAGACGAGACCAAUCGACUUUGUGUGCAAUGCACACGCCAGGAGAAACAUGAACAACAGGAAGGACCUUGUCACGUUCCUGACCUGUUUUCUGUUGUUUGGUCAAAUCCCUGCUACUCCUCUUCGGAUGAAGAGAAGGAGGAAGCCC